GAUGAAGCCUGGCUUGCUGGGUGGAUUAGUGGCGAACGGGUGAGUAACACGUGAGUAACCUGCCCUUGACUCUGGGAUAAGCGCUGGAAACGGCGUCUAAUACCGGAUAUGACCUGCCCCGGCAUCGGGUGUGGGUGGAAAGUUUUUCGGUCAAGGAUGGACUCGCGGCCUAUCAGCUUGUUGGUGAGGUAAUGGCUCACCAAGGCGACGACGGGUAGCCGGCCUGAGAGGGUGACCGGCCACACUGGGACUGAGACACGGCCCAGACUCCUACGGGAGGCAGCAGUGGGGAAUAUUGCACAAUGGGCGAAAGCCUGAUGCAGCAACGCCGCGUGGGGGAUGACGGCCUUCGGGUUGUAAACCUCUUUUAGUAGGGAAGAAGGGCUUCGGCUUGACGGUACCUGCAGAAAAAGCACCGGCUAACUACGUGCCAGCAGCCGCGGUAAUACGUAGGGUGCAAGCGUUGUCCGGAAUUAUUGGGCGUAAAGAGCUCGUAGGCGGUUUGUCGCGUCUGCUGUGAAAACCCGAGGCUCAACCUCGGGCCUGCAGUGGGUACGGGCAGACUAGAGUGCGGUAGGGGAGAAUGGAAUUCCUGGUGUAGCGGUGGAAUGCGCAGAUAUCAGGAGGAACACCGAUGGCGAAGGCAGUUCUCUGGGCCGUUACUGACGCUGAGGAGCGAAAGCGUGGGGAGCGAACAGGAUUAGAUACCCUGGUAGUCCACGCCGUAAACGUUGGGAACUAGAUGUGGGGGCCUUUCCACGGUCUCCGUGUCGCAGCUAACGCAUUAAGUUCCCCGCCUGGGGAGUACGGCCGCAAGGCUAAAACUCAAAGGAAUUGACGGGGGCCCGCACAAGCGGCGGAGCAUGCGGAUUAAUUCGAUGCAACGCGAAGAACCUUACCAAGGCUUGACAUAUACCGGAAACUUCCAGAGAUGGUUGCCCCGCAAGGUCGGUAUACAGGUGGUGCAUGGUUGUCGUCAGCUCGUGUCGUGAGAUGUUGGGUUAAGUCCCGCAACGAGCGCAACCCUCGUUCUAUGUUGCCAGCACGUUAUGGUGGGAACUCAUAGGAGACUGCCGGGGUCAACUCGGAGGAAGGUGGGGAUGACGUCAAAUCAUCAUGCCCCUUAUGUCUUGGGCUUCACGCAUGCUACAAUGGCCGGUACAAAGGGCUGCGAUACCGUAAGGUGGAGCGAAUCCCAAAAAGCCGGUCUCAGUUCGGAUUGAGGUCUGCAACUCGACCUCAUGAAGUCGGAGUCGCUAGUAAUCGCAGAUCAGCAACGCUGCGGUGAAUACGUUCCCGGGCCUUGUACACACCGCCCGUCAAGUCAUGAAAGUCGGUAACACCCGAAGCCAGUGG
rnacentral:rRNA from 1 species